rnacentral:rRNA from 1 species
CCAAUAGCGUAUAUUAAAGUUGUUGCAGUUAAAAAGCUCGUAGUUGAAUUUCGGGAUUCUACCGUUGGUCGGGCUAACAAGUCUGUACUGGUGUGUAGAAUUUCUACCUUCUGGGGAACUAUCAUGUUAUUAAUUUAGCGUGGUGGGAAACCAGGACCUUUACCUUGAAAAAAUUAGAGUGUUCAAAGCAGGCUUACGUCUGAAUACAUUAGCAUGGAAUAAUAGAAUAGGACGGUGGUCCUGUUUUGUUGGUUUCUGAAUCACCGUAAUGAUUAAUAGGGAUAGUUGGGGGCAUUAGUAUUCAAUUGUCAGAGGUGAAAUUAUUGGAUUUAUUGAAGACUAACUUCUGCGAAAGCAUUUGCCAAGGAUGUUUUCAUUAAUCAAGAACGAAAGUUAGGGGAUCAAAGACGAUCAGAUACCGUCGUAGUCUUAACCAUAAACUAUGCCGACUAGGGAUCGGACGAUGUUAAAUUUUAUUGACUCGUUCGGCGCCUUACG